UAAUUUGUGUGUUCGCUCAGAGAUUUUUGGUCCAAUCCCUUCAAUUUUUUGCUUGGAGUUCAGGUUAGUACAAUUUUUGUGUUGUAAACUUCAUUGAUUUCUAGGAUAUUGUUACAAAAGAAAGAUUGGUUCCAGAUGAAAAAACCAGG